GACAGAGGGUGCAAACGUUGUUCGGAAUUACUGGGCGUAAAGCGCGUGUAGGCGGCCAUGCAAGUCGGGUGUGAAAGCCCUGGGCUCAACCCAGGAAGUGCAUUCGAUACUGCGAGGCUUGAGUCCCGGAGAGGGUGGUAGAAUUCUCGGUGUAGAGGUGAAAUUCGUAGAUAUCGAGAGGAAUACCGGUGGCGAAGGCGGCCACCUGGACGGCGACUGACGCUGAGACGCGAAAGCGUGGGGAGCAAACAGG
rnacentral:rRNA from 1 species